rnacentral:sRNA from 1 species
GUCGAAGCUGAGAGACAAUUU